CAUAUGUUUGUUUGCUGGUGUUCAAUGGAACCUGAGGGAGGGCAUAAUGGAUCUCCGUUACUAAACCAUGUGGAAGGCUUCCAGAGAUUUAAUAGUCUACCUCGAGCUGUCUACGGAGGGAAGACAUUUCCCAUAAUUGUUAAUCUUCCAACAGCAAGUGUGGAAGUCCUAGACUUUCAACAAAGGAAACCAUUGCUAUAGGACUACAUCCCUUAUAAAAGGCAAGAAAUAAUUGUUAGGUAACAUCUCUCUAGAAUUCUUUACAUUUGCCCCACCCCACAUUACCUCUACCCUAUGUCAGUUCCUUCAGUGGACUUAACUAUCACCAGGUUGGUGUUUUUGUUUUGUUUUUCUGAACUUAUGCUGUAAAUUUACAAAUCUGUAUGUGUAUGUAAAAGAUUAUAGCUAUGAAUUUAUGUUUUUGGGGAUUUAAAUUAUUUGCCUAAAUAUAAUUUUUACAACUUGUUCUUUUCUUUUCUUUUUUUAAAGAUUUUAUUUAUUUAUUUUGAGAGAGAGAAAGCACAAGCAGAAGUGGGGGAGGGGCAGGAAGAGAAGGAGAAGCAGACUUCUUGCUAAGCAGGGAGCCUGACAUGGGCUUGAUCUCAGGACUCUGGGAUCGUGACUUGAACCAAAGGCAGAUGUUUCAUUGACUGAGCCACCCAGGCGUCCUCAACGUAUUUUCGCUCUAUAUUUUGGAUACAUAUCCAUAUGAGUUCAAUUAGAUCUACUUUAUUCUUUUAAGUUACUGCAUAGUAUAGCCAUAUGGAUAUGCUCUGUGCUAUAUAGCACAUAUCUUAAUUUAUCUAACAACUUCCUCCCUCCAGAC
rnacentral:lncRNA from 1 species